rnacentral:rRNA from 1 species
AGAGUUUGAUCCUGGCUCAGGACGAACGCUGGCGGCGUGCCUAAUACAUGCAAGUCGAGCGGACUUUAAAAGCUUGCUCUUAAAGUUAGCGGCGGACGGGUGAGUAACACGUGGGCAACCUGCCUGUAAGACUGGGAUAACUUCGGGAAACCGGAGCUAAUACCGGAUAAUUCUUUCCACCACAUGGUGGAAAGCUGAAAGACGGCAUCUCGCUGUCACUUACAGAUGGGCCCGCGGCGCAUUAGCUAGUUGGUGAGGUAACGGCUCACCAAGGCAACGAUGCGUAGCCGACCUGAGAGGGUGAUCGGCCACACUGGGACUGAGACACGGCCCAGACUCCUACGGGAGGCAGCAGUAGGGAAUCUUCCGCAAUGGACGAAAGUCUGACGGAGCAACGCCGCGUGAGUGAUGAAGGUUUUCGGAUCGUAAAGCUCUGUUGUUAGGGAAGAACAAGUACAAGAGUAACUGCUUGUACCUUGACGGUACCUAACCAGAAAGCCACGGCUAACUACGUGCCAGCAGCCGCGGUAAUACGUAGGUGGCAAGCGUUGUCCGGAAUUAUUGGGCGUAAAGCGCGCGCAGGCGGUCCUUUAAGUCUGAUGUGAAAGCCCACGGCUCAACCGUGGAGGGUCAUUGGAAACUGGGGGACUUGAGUGCAGAAGAGGAGAGUGGAAUUCCACGUGUAGCGGUGAAAUGCGUAGAGAUGUGGAGGAACACCAGUGGCGAAGGCGACUCUUUGGUCUGUAACUGACGCUGAGGCGCGAAAGCGUGGGGAUCAAACAGGAUUAGAUACCCUGGUAGUCC